UUCUGUAAGCCUGUGAAGGUGAGUUGAGAAGCUUGCUGGAGGUAUCAGAAGUGCGAAUGCUGACAUGAGUAACGACAAUGGGUGUGAAAAACACCCACGCCGAAAGACCAAGGGUUCCUGCGCAACGUUAAUCGACGCAGGGUUAGUCGGUUCCUAAGGCGAGGCUGAAAAGCGUAGUCGAUGGGAAACAGGUUAAUAUUCCUGUACUUCUGGUUACUGCGAUGGAGGGACGGAGAAGGCUAGGCCAGCUUGGCGUUGGUUGUCCAAGUUUAAGGUGGUAGGCUGAAAUCUUAGGUAAAUCCGGGGUUUCAAGGCCGAGAGCUGAUGACGAGUCGUCUUUUAGAUGACGAAGUGGUUGAUGCCAUGCUUCCAAGAAAAGCUUCUAAGCUUCAGGUAACCAGGAACCGUACCCCAAACCGACACAGGUGGUCGGGUAGAGAAUACCAAGGCGCUUGAGAGAACUCGGGUGAAGGAACUAGGCAAAAUGGCACCGUAACUUCGGGAGAAGGUGCGCCGGCUAGGGUGAAGGAUUUACUCCGUAAGCUCUGGCUGGUCGAAGAUACCAGGCCGCUGCGACUGUUUAUUAAAAACACAGCACUCUGCAAACACGAAAGUGGACGUAUAGGGUGUGACGCCUGCCCGGUGCCGGAAGGUUAAUUGAUGGGGUUAGCGCAAGCGAAGCUCUUGAUCGAAGCCCCGGUAAACGGCGGCC
rnacentral:rRNA from 1 species